AGCUGCCCAAAGUCUUCGCGCAGCAACUCUUGCAACGCAAGGCCCUGUUCGAGGCCCCGGACCGCACAUCAAACAACAUUCAGCACCGAAAAAGAAACUGCGGUCAAGUGACAAAAGUAGUGCCUACCUUGGCCAGGUCACUCUUGAGGCUCUCAAGACGCAAUGAGAGGCGUGCCUCGACUGCAUCCACUUGCUGCUGCAACCGUUGGUCCAAGGCUCUCCAUAGCUCCUGGGCACGAGCCUCUUGCUGACGCAACAGAUGGGGAACCUGAAGCAGUCCUUGUUCCAAGAGGGCUUCCAGCAAAGGCCUCUCCCCUGCAUGGCCCAUUUCCACACCAUCUUCUCGCCAGCAUAACAUCUUUUGUUCACUUAAUUCACACUAGCGCCAAGUUGUCCAACACGACUUCAUCUCAAGGUAGACGAGAUUGAGAUCCAAUCGGUUUGCAGAAUGACAGCCCAGCUAGCCGACAACUGAAUCCACCACUUUCAUAAAUUGCCAGUCAGGAG